UCUAACAACUAUCUGUGUGUGUUUUAGAGAGAGAUACAUACCACCAAUAAGCAGGUUCACUUAACCUAACAUCCCAAACCCUAACAUUCUCCGACCUAAUAAACCCAACCAGUCGCGGCCUACACUCAUCUCCAUCACACGCGCCGGUCCGAUUCCAGCUCACCAUCACAUUCUUCCUCACAUCAAAUCUCACCACAAACUCCAACCCUUGGCCGUUAAUCUCACCACCACCAGUAAUCCCUACAUCCUCCGCAUCCUCCGCCACCACCACGUACCACCGGUUCUGUUCCACCGGAUAAUCCUCCAGCCUCGUCCCUCCGUACACCGUCGCAUUCUUCUGCACCUCCAAAACCACGCCGGACUUCAAAAAUACCGUCGCCGUUAAGUACUUCCCCGGCGGAAACACCACGCGGCCGCCUCCGGUGGCCGUGCACGCGUCGAUUGCGGACUGGAUCGGAACGGUGUCGUAGUGGAUUCCGUCGCCGGUGGCGCCGAAAUCGGUGACGGAGAUACGAACAGGUUCAGAUCGGGAUUGAAUUGAAGGAAGACGGGUGUAUGGUGAUGACGUGUGUGGUGACGUUUGAGUGUAGAGAAUGAAGAUGAAUGAUAACGUGAGGAAAGGAUGGAGGUAAAGAGGGAGCGCCAUUUUUGCCGGCGACGGUGUACGGCGGUGGUCAACGGUGGAUUGGGUUUAUAUAGUCACCAAAGGACCAUAAUUUUGAGUCGUAUUCCGUAUUGAUUGGGAUUGCGUUUAUCCCAUAGUGAAGUUUGAAAGGCAUUGAUUUUUUUAUUUUUUUUUUUAAAUUAAAUUUCAUUAAAAAUACACCUCCGACCCAGACGGGCAAAAGACCAAUACAAAACAUCACCCUCGACCUAAACGGGCAAAGGACAAAAUCUAUUAUCUAUAACUAGUAGGGUGCCCGCGCGAUGCGGCGAGAGUAACAUUUUGCAUUGCGGUACUUGUACUUUUCUUAUUCAUAUAAUAUUUAUGGUAGCAUCCACCGGUGAAUCUACGUCAUAAACAUAGCCAUUAGUUUGUCCAUUUCAUUGUGGUGUGUGUGGUUCAGUUAUUAUCUUCAACUGGAGCUGAAACCGAAGUCACCAGUUAGGAUAUUUUAUUAAUCAAUUGGUUUUCGGUUAGCCAGGUUGGCUUGUUCGGUUAGAUUUAUGGUUUUUUGUUAGGUUCGUUUAAUCGCUUAGAUUGACGGUUUUUGUUAGUGGAAAUUACCCGCAUGUUGGGCGAGGCAUUUCGGUUGGUUUUACAAUACCGUAAAUUCGAAGUACACAUGUAG
rnacentral:lncRNA from 1 species